AUUGAACGCUGGCGGCAGGCCUAACACAUGCAAGUCGAGCGGAUGAGGGGUGCUUGCACCCCGAUUCAGCGGCGGACGGGUGAGUAAUGCCUAGGAAUCUGCCCGGUAGUGGGGGACAACGUUUCGAAAGGAACGCUAAUACCGCAUACGUCCUACGGGAGAAAGCGGGGGACCUUCGGGCCUCGCGCCAUUAGAUGAGCCUAGGUCGGAUUAGCUAGUUGGUGAGGUAAUGGCUCACCAAGGCUACGAUCCGUAACUGGUCUGAGAGGAUGAUCAGUCACACUGGAACUGAGACACGGUCCAGACUCCUACGGGAGGCAGCAGUGGGGAAUAUUGGACAAUGGGCGAAAGCCUGAUCCAGCCAUGCCGCGUGUGUGAAGAAGGUCUUCGGAUUGUAAAGCACUUUAAGUCGGGAGGAAGGGCUGCCGGUUAAUACCCUGCAGCCUUGACGUUACCGACAGAAUAAGCACCGGCUAACUUCGUGC
rnacentral:rRNA from 1 species